GAGAGAGAGAGAGAGAGACUGAUGUUUGAAUUGGGUUCUGCGCAGGGAGGAGAGUGUGUCUGAACUGGGUUUUGCACAGGGGUAGAGAGAGAGAGAGAGAGAGAGAGAGAGAUUGAUGUUGGAAUUGGGUUUUGCCUAAGGAAAGCGAGGAAGGCAAACAUAUUCAUAUAAGAUAGAUCAGGAGGAGGAGAAGAAGAUGGAAGGGAUAGCUUCAAUAGCUCUGUUACCAUCGGGUUCUAUUUCAGGCCAUUUCAUCCAACUUCCUCAUUCCAUUUGCUAUGCCCUCCAUGGCAUCGAAUUAUCGUGUGAGAGGGAGUGCAGCAGAGGUGAGGACUACCGGUUGAUUAAGCUCACAUUCUUUGACUAUUCUAGCAAGAGAGAGCGAGUAGUGGUGGUGGAGUGUAGAGGGCAAGAUGCUGCUCGGUUCCACAGUAUUGAUCAUGCCCAUGGUUGGGAGAAUGAUGUUGUUGGUAUGGUUGAGAAGAAGUAUGGGAAGCACAAGAUUUCAGUUUCUUUUGAAUGUGAGACACUGAAGUCUGAAAAAGCAGCAGAAGAACAUAUCAAACAAUUCAUGCCAAAUCUAGUUGGACUGGAUGCCAUUGGUGGUCUGCAAAGUGGAUGGUUCCAAUCCAUGACUAAAGUGCACAAAUCAAGGCCUGUAUUGUUGAUGACAGUUUCUAGGUUGUACUGGAUGAACACUUCAUAGAUACAUGGCUGCCACCAGGGAUAUCCUUGGUGGGAAGCGGAUGAUUGCGUGGUGUGUUGUCGUCACCAAGCUCUGUGGACCCCACCAUGAUUGAAUGUUGGUCGGAUGAGUAUUGCUGGCUUGGAGUUUGAUGAGGACGAUGUAUCUGAUGACGACAACGAGAAGCAUGGCUGAUAGUACUAAAAGAACUUCCUGUUUUGUGCAGCUUUCAUCUGUUCUCAUUUUCAUUAUACAAAGGUUGAAAUAUUAUCAAUUUAUUUUCAUUUUCAUUGUACAAAAGUUGAAAUGUUUAUCAUGUACUGGGUAGCUUGCUGUAUAAAUAACCUCACCGUUUUUUGCUUAUUUCUGUUUGUUUAUAAAGAGAACUAUUUCUGUUUGUUUAUAGAGAAAACAGUGGUCAAGAAUAGAAAAGAAAAUGAAUUCCUUUGA